rnacentral:rRNA from 1 species
GAUGAACGCUAGCGGCAGGCCUAAUACAUGCAAGUCGGACGGGAUUCAGGAGCUUGCUUCUGAUGAGAGUGGCGCACGGGUGCGUAACACGUAUGUAACCUACCUUUAUCAGGGGGAUAGCCUCUCGGAAGAGAGAUUAAGCCCGCAUAAAAUCACAGCACAGCAUUGUGUAAUGAUCAAAUAUUUAUAGGAUAAAGAUGGGCAUGCGGAACAUUAGCUAGAUGGCGGGGUAACGGCCCACCAUGGCGACGAUGUUUAGGGGAUCUGAGAGGAUGGCCCCCCACACUGGUACUGAGACACGGACCAGACUCCUACGGGAGGCAGCAGUAAGGAAUAUUGGUCAAUGGGCGGAAGCCUGAACCAGCCAUGCCGCGUGCAGGAAGACGGCCCUACGGGUUGUAAACUGCUUUUAUACGGGAAUAAACCCAGAUACGUGUAUCUGGCUGAAUGUACUGUAAGAAUAAGGAUCGGCUAACUCCGUG